AGAGAGAGACAUGCGCGCAUAUCAAUAAGCGGAGGAAAAGAAACUAACUAGGAUUCCCUCAGUAACAGGCGAGUGAAGCGGGAAGAGCUCAAAUUUGAAAUCUUCAAGGGUUCUACCUUUACGAAUUGUAGUUUAAAGAAGUGUUUUCUGUUGAGGUUUUGGUAAAAGUUCUUUGGAAUAGGACAUCAUAGAGGGUGAGAAUCCCGUAUUUGACCAUUACUUUCCAACUUUGUGAUACACUUUCAAAGAGUCGGAUUGUUUGGGAAUGCAGUCCAAAAUGGGUGGUAAAUUUCAUCUAAAGCUAAAUAUUGGCGAUGAGACCGAUAGCGAACAAGUACCGUGAGGGAAAGAUGAAAAGAACUUUGAAAAGAGAGUUAAACAGUACGUGAAAUUGUCAAAAGGGAAGCGUUUGACACCAGUGUUGUUUUUCUGAAAAUCAAUUAAAGAAGGCAUGAUUUAUGUAGUUGUAUUAGACUUUAUCAGCUUCUAACUGCCUCUUAGUUCUUGAGCUUUUCUUUAAUGCACUUUUCAGUUUAACAAGUCAACAUCAAUUUCUUUUGUUGUAAAAGGGUCAUUGGAAGGUGGCUUUCUUUUCGGAGAAAGUGUUUAUAGCCUUUGGCCUCUGCAAUCGGAGAGAUUGAGGUCUGCAGCGUAGAUCCUUCGGGGUUAGAUACAUUUGUGCUAAGUUAUAGCCUUUCAUAGACAACUUGUUGACUAUGAUCAGUCAUGUAGCUUACUCGCUUAUGCUAUUUUACCUACGCUUAGGAUGUUGAUGUGAUACUGCGAGCA
rnacentral:rRNA from 1 species